UGCGUGGAAGGGCCAUCGCUCAACGGAUAAAAGCUACCCUGGGGAUAACAGGCUUAUCUCCCCCAAGCGUCCACAUCGACGGGGAGGUUUGGCACCUCGAUGUCGGCUCAUCACAUCCUGGGGCUGUAGUAGGUCCCAAGGGUUGGGCUGUUCGCCCAUUAAAGUGGUACGCGAGCUGGGUUCAGAACGUCGUGAGCCAGUUCGGUCCCUAUCCGUCGCAGGCGUAGGAAAUUUGAGAAGACCUGUCCUUAGUACGAGAGGACCGGGAUGGACGUACCUCUGGUGUACCAGUUGUCCUGCCAAGGGCAUGGCUGGGUAGCUAUGUACGGAAUGGAUAAGCGCUGAAAGCAUCUAAGCGCGAAG
rnacentral:rRNA from 1 species